rnacentral:rRNA from 1 species
UCGCACGGAGGGAGCAAUCCCUCAGUGGCGCACGGGUGAGUAAUGUAUCGCUAACGUGCCCCGGACUCCGGGAUAGCCGGCCGAAAGGUCGGGUAAUACCGGAUGAGACCACGGAGUCGCAUGGCUCUGUGCUCAAAGGUCCGCCGGUCUGGGAGCGGGCGAUAUCGUAUCAGCUGGUUGGUGGGGUAACGGCCCACCAAGGCGACGACGCGUAACCGGACUGAGAGGUCGGCCGGUCACAUCGGGACUGAGACACUGCCCGGACUCCUACGGGGGGCUGCAGUAACGAAUCUUCCCCAAUGCACGAAAGUGUGAGGGAGCGGCGCCGCGUGGAGGACCAAGUCCUUCGGGAUGUAAACUCCUGUCAGGGGUUACCAAGUUCUGAGGAGCCCCAGAGGAAGUGGCGGCUAACUCUGUGCCAGCAGCCGCGGUAAGACAGAGGCCACGAGCGUUA